GGUUAAGCGACUAAGCGUACACGGUGGAUGCCCUGGCAGUCAGAGGCGAUGAAGGACGUGCUAAUCUGCGAUAAGCGUCGGUAAGGUGAUAUGAACCGUUAUAACCGGCGAUUUCCGAAUGGGGAAACCCAGUGUGUUUCGACACACUAUCAUUAACUGAAUCCAUAGGUUAAUGAGGCGAACCGGGGGAACUGAAACAUCUAAGUACCCCGAGGAAAAGAAAUCAACCGAGAUUCCCCCAGUAGCGGCGAGCGAACGGGGAGCAGCCCAGAGCCUGAAUCAGUGUGUGUGUUAGUGGAAGCGUCUGGAAAGGCGCGCGAUACAGGGUGACAGCCCCGUACACAAAAAUGCACAUGCUGUGAGCUCGAUGAGUAGGGCGGGACACGUGGUAUCCUGUCUGAAUAUGGGGGGACCAUCCUCCAAGGCUAAAUACUCCUGACUGACCGAUAGUGAACCAGUACCGUGAGGGAAAGGCGAAAAGAACCCCGGCGAGGGGAGUGAAAAAGAACCUGAAACCGUGUACGUACAAGCAGUGGGAGCCUCUUUUAUGGGGUGACUGCGUACCUUUUGUAUAAUGGGUCAGCGACUUAUAUUCUGUAGCAAGGUUAACCGAAUAGGGGAGCCGAAGGGAAACCGAGUCUUAACUGGGCGUUAAGUUGCAGGGUAUAGACCCGAAACCCGGUGAUCUAGCCAUGGGCAGGUUGAAGGUUGGGUAACACUAACUGGAGGACCGAACCGACUAAUGUUGAAAAAUUAGCGGAUGACUUGUGGCUGGGGGUGAAAGGCCAAUCAAACCGGGAGAUAGCUGGUUCUCCCCGAAAGCUAUUUAGGUAGCGCCUCGUGAAUUCAUCUCCGGGGGUAGAGCACUGUUUCGGCAAGGGGGUCAUCCCGACUUACCAACCCGAUGCAAACUGCGAAUACCGGAGAAUGUUAUCACGGGAGACACACGGCGGGUGCUAACGUCCGUCGUGAAGAGGGAAACAACCCAGACCGCCAGCUAAGGUCCCAAAGUCAUGGUUAAGUGGGAAACGAUGUGGGAAGGCCCAGACAGCCAGGAUGUUGGCUUAGAAGCAGCCAUCAUUUAAAGAAAGCGUAAUAGCUCACUGGUCGAGUCGGCCUGCGCGGAAGAUGUAACGGGGCUAAACCAUGCACCGAAGCUGCGGCAGCGACGCUUAUGCGUUGUUGGGUAGGGGAGCGUUCUGUAAGCCUGUGAAGGUGUGCUGUGAGGCAUGCUGGAGGUAUCAGAAGUGCGAAUGCUGACAUAAGUAACGAUAAAGCGGGUGAAAAGCCCGCUCGCCGGAAGACCAAGGGUUCCUGUCCAACGUUAAUCGGGGCAGGGUGAGUCGACCCCUAAGGCGAGGCCGAAAGGCGUAGUCGAUGGGAAACAGGUUAAUAUUCCUGUACUUGGUGUUACUGCGAAGGGGGGACGGAGAAGGCUAUGUUGGCCGGGCGACGGUUGUCCCGGUUUAAGCGUGUAGGCUGGUUUUCCAGGCAAAUCCGGAAAAUCAAGGCUGAGGCGUGAUGACGAGGCACUACGGUGCUGAAGCAACAAAUGCCCUGCUUCCAGGAAAAGCCUCUAAGCAUCAGGUAACAUCAAAUCGUACCCCAAACCGACACAGGUGGUCAGGUAGAGAAUACCAAGGCGCUUGAGAGAACUCGGGUGAAGGAACUAGGCAAAAUGGUGCCGUAACUUCGGGAGAAGGCACGCUGAUAUGUAGGUGAAGCGACUUGCUCGUGGAGCUGAAAUCAGUCGAAGAUACCAGCUGGCUGCAACUGUUUAUUAAAAACACAGCACUGUGCAAACACGAAAGUGGACGUAUACGGUGUGACGCCUGCCCGGUGCCGGAAGGUUAAUUGAUGGGGUCAGCGCAAGCGAAGCUCUUGAUCGAAGCCCCGGUAAACGGCGGCCGUAACUAUAACGGUCCUAAGGUAGCGAAAUUCCUUGUCGGGUAAGUUCCGACCUGCACGAAUGGCGUAAUGAUGGCCAGGCUGUCUCCACCCGAGACUCAGUGAAAUUGAACUCGCUGUGAAGAUGCAGUGUACCCGCGGCAAGACGGAAAGACCCCGUGAACCUUUACUAUAGCUUGACACUGAACAUUGAGCCUUGAUG
rnacentral:rRNA from 1 species